rnacentral:rRNA from 1 species
GACGAACGCUGGCGGCGUGCUUAACACAUGCAAGUCGAACGGAAAGGCCCUGCUUUUGUGGGGUGCUCGAGUGGCGAACGGGUGAGUAACACGUGAGUAACCUGCCCUUGACUUCGGGAUAACUUCAGGAAACUGGGGCUAAUACCGGAUAGGAGCUCCUGCUGCAUGGUGGGGGUUGGAAAGUUUCGGCGGUUGGGGAUGGUCUCGCGGCUUAUCAGCUUGUUGGUGGGGUAGUGGCUUACCAAGGCUUUGACGGGUAGCCGGCCUGAGAGGGUGACCGGCCACAUUGGGACUGAGAUACGGCCCAGACUCCUACGGGAGGCAGCAGUGGGGAAUAUUGCACAAGGGGCGGAAGCCUGAUGCAGCAACGCCGCGUGCGGGAUGACGGCCUUCGGGUUGUAAACCGCUUUCGCCUGUGACGAAGCGUGAGUGACGGUAAUGGGUAAAGAAGCACCGGCUAACUACGU